UACGGGAGGCAGCAGGGGGGAAUUUUCCGCAAUGGGCGAGAGCCUGACGGAGCAACGCCGCGUGAGGGAGGAAGGCCUGUGGGUUGUAAACCUCUUUUCUCAGGGAAGAAGUUCUGACGGUACCUGAGGAAUCAGCAUCGGCUAACUCCGUGCCAGCAGCCGCGGUAAGACGGAGGAUGCAAGCGUUAUCCGGAAUUAUUGGGCGUAAAGCGUCCGUAGGCGGCUUAUAAAGUCUGCUGUUAAAGCUCACAGCUCAACUGUGAAUCGGCAGUGGAAACUCAUAGGCUAGAGAGUGGUAGGGGUAGAGGGAAUUCCUAGUGUAGCGGUGAAAUGCGUAGAUAUUAGGAAGAACACCAGUGGCGAAGGCGCUCUACUGGGCCAUUACUGACGCUGAUGGACGAAAGCUAGGGGAGCGAAAGGGAUUAGAUACCCCUGUAGUCCUAGCUGUAAACGAUGGANNCUAGGUGUUGGCCGUAUCGACCCGGUCAGUAUCGAAGCAAACGC
rnacentral:rRNA from 1 species